UACGGAGAGUGCAAGCAUUAAUCGGAAUUAUUGGGCGUAAAGGGCGCGUAGGCGGGCGAGAAAGUCAGAUGUGAAAUUCCGAAGCUCAACUUCGGAGCUGCAUUUGAAACUACUCACCUAGAGGGUUGACGGAGAAAACGGAAUUCCACGUGUAGCGGUGAAAUGCGUAGAUAUGUGGAAGAACACCUGUGGCGAAAGCGGUUUUCUAGUUUAUACCUGACGCUGAGGCGCGAGAGCAAGGGGAGCAAACAGG
rnacentral:rRNA from 1 species